UACGGAGGGUGCGAGCGUUAUCCGGAUUUACUGGGUUUAAAGGGUGUGUAGGCGGACUGUUAAGUCAGUGGUGAAAUCCCGGGGCUCAACCCCGGAACUGCCAUUGAUACUAUCAGUCUUGAAUACUGUGGAGGUGAGCGGAAUGUGUCAUGUAGCGGUGAAAAUGCUUAGAGAUGACACAGAACACCGAUUGCGAAGGCAGCUCACUACGCAGUUAUUUGACGCUGAGGCACGAAAGCGUGGGGAUCAAACAGG
rnacentral:rRNA from 1 species